AUUGAACGCUGGCGGCAGGCCAAACACAUGCAAGUCGAGCGGCGGCGGACAGGUGAGUAACGCGUAAAGAACUUGCCUCAAAGCUAGGGACAACAUUUGGAAAAGAAUGAUCAUACCUAAUACUGUGAGAGAGCUGUGCGUCCCAUUAGCUAGUUGGAGAGGUACCGGCUCACCAAGGCGAGGAUGGGUAGCCGGCCUGAGAGGGUGAUCGGCCACAAGGGGACUGAGACACUGCCCUUACUCCUACGGGAGGCAGCAGUGGGGAAUAUUGGACAAUGGACCAAAGUCUGAUCCAGCAAUUCUGUGUGCACGAUGAAGUUUUCGGAAUGUAAAGUGCUUUCAGUUUGGAAGCGGUACCAACAGAAGAAGUGACGGCUAAAUACGUGCCAGCAGCCGCGGUAAUUC
rnacentral:rRNA from 1 species